rnacentral:rRNA from 1 species
AUUGAACGCUGGCGGCAUGCCUUACACAUGCAAGUCGAACGGUAACGGGCCUUCGGGUGCCGACGAGCGGCGAACGGGUGAGUAAUGUAUCGGAACGUACCUUUCAGUGGGGGAUAACGUAGCGAAAGUUACGCUAAUACCGCAUAUUCUGUGAGCAGGAAAGCAGGGGAUCGCAAGACCUUGCGCUGAUUGAGCGGCCGAUAUCAGAUUAGCUAGUUGGUGAGGUAAAGGCUCACCAAAGCGACGAUCUGUAGCGGGUCUGAGAGGAUGAUCCGCCACACUGGAACUGAGACACGGUCCAGACUCCUACGGGAGGCAGCAGUGGGGAAUUUUGGACAAUGGGGGCAACCCUGAUCCAGCCAUGCCGCGUGAGUGGAGAAGGCC